rnacentral:rRNA from 1 species
UACGGGGGGAGCAAGCGUUGUUCGGAUUUACUGGGCGUAAAGGGCGCGUAGGCGGUCGUGACAAGUCACUUGUGAAAUCUCCGGGCUUAACUCGGAACGGUCAAGUGAUACUGUCGGACUAGAGUACAGAAGGGGCAACUGGAAUUCUCGGUGUAGUGGUGAAAUGCGUAGAGAUCGGCAGGAACACCCAGGGGGAAACCAGUCGACUGGGCAUCUACUGACGCUGAGGUGCGAGAGCGUGGGGAGCGAACCGG